rnacentral:rRNA from 1 species
UACGUAGGGACCGAGCGUUGUCCGGAAUCAUUGGGCGUAAAGAGCGUGUAGGCGGCUAUUUAAGUCCUGCGUGAAAUCCUGCGGCUCAACCGCAGACGGUCGUGGGAAACUGGGUGGCUAGAGUGCGGGAGAGGAGAGUGGAAUUCCUGGUGUAGCGGUGGAAUGCGCAGAUAUCGGGAGGAACACCGGUGGCGAAGGCGGUUCUCUGGGCCUGUACUGACGCUGAGGAGCGAAAGCGUGGGGAGCAAACAGG